rnacentral:lncRNA from 1 species
CCUGGUUCUUUUGAUUUUUUUUUUAAUAAAUAAAGUGAAAAUUUGAGAGUUAACCCCUAAAGAUAUAAUUAAUCGAUAAAUGCCUCUGUAUCCACUCAUCCAUUUUAGAUAAAUCUUUCCAGAUAAAACAGAAAGAAAGAACAGGAGAGGUGAUUCAUGUAGAGAUCAUUUCAUAAGGUGAGUUACAAUUCUUGAAAGAUCCACUGUUACAAUGUGUUGACACUAGCCUAUGAUCCACAUUAUUUGUCUAAAAUUCAAGGUAAAUUAGAAAUCAAUAAUAGAGUAGCAAAUAUAAGUAAUCCACUUGAAAUUUUUCUUUUAAGACUUAUGAUGAAAACUUUCAACAUGGAGAAAAGCAGAAACAAUAGUAAAAUUGCUGCCAUUGUUAAUAACAUGUUGUCUUAUUUAUUUUAUCUGUCACUGUAUCUCUUGUACAGUUAUUUCUACAUUUGAGAAAACAUCAGCUGUCACCCCUAAAUAUUAGUCUAUUACUUUUGAGCCCCAUCAUUUUACACAAUUUUGAAUUUUUAUGGAAGAGUUUAAGGAAAUUGUAAAAUGCCUUACAUUCUGCAUUUGAUUGUUUAUACUGUCAUUUAACUUGUUCUUUUUAUCCCCUUUUUACAUACAUAUAUUAUAAAGAUUUCAUUGGGUUCUAAAAAAUAUUUCCAAGCUGAUGCUGCCUAUAUCUAGAAACAUGUAAUACAGACUUUCAAUAAUUAGUCAAACUUAAAACUUGGUACGCAUUGUUGGAGUCUAUUAUAAGGCUCCCUUAUACAGUGAAUAAUCUGAAUGGUGAUAUUUUUGUAUCUCUAUUUGUAUAGUUAUUAUAAAGAGAAAAUCAAAUUUUGAAAUUCUUGUCUAUUUAGAAAACAGCAAUAUGAGAUGCCUAUGCAUCAGAAACAUUUUAAUUUUUAUUGUAUUUACUUACUUAUUUUGAGAUGAAGUCUUGCUAUGUUGCCAAGGCUGCCCUUGAACUCCAGGGCUUAAGUGUUCCACCUGUCUAAGCCUCACAGGUAGCUGGAAUUCUAGGCACAGGCCUCCAUACCUGGCAGUAUUAUAAUUUGAGGCCAAAGCUGUAAAAUUGAAAUAUUUGUUUAUAUAUAAUAGUUUUAAUACCAACAGGAAACCAUUUUGUUCACCUUUUCAUUCUCCACCAAUGUAAUAAUUGCCAGAGUAUAUGUAAUUACUAAAGCUAUUAAAAGAAGAAAUAAUCAUAUUCAGUUGUUCUGGGGCUGGUUUUUGAAAAGAAUUACCUUUCUCAUUGAGUCACUCUGUUGCAAAUCAACAGACCACAAGCUUGAUUUAAUUAUUUCUCAAUGUAUACUCUUCUAUACCAUUAGCUGUGGUCUGAAUGUUUAUGCCUCCCCAAAAUUCUUAUAUUGAAAUCCUAUCCCUACG